CCUACGGGAGGCUGCAGUGGGGAAUAUUGCACAAUGGGCGCAAGCCUGAUGCAGCCAUGCCGCGUGUGUGAAGAAGGCCUUCGGGUUAUAAAGCACUUUCAGCGGGGAGGAAGGCGUUAAGGUUAAUAACCUUGUCGAUUGACGUUACCCGCAGAAGAAGCACCGGCUAACUCCGUGCCAGCAGCCGCGGUAAUACGGAGGGUGCAAGCGUUAAUCGGAAUUACUGGGCGUAAAGCGCACGCAGGCGGUCUGUCAAGUCGGAUGUGAAAUCCCCGGGCUCAACCUGGGAACUGCAUUCGAAACUGGCAGGCUAGAGUCUUGUAGAGGGGGGUAGAAUUCCAGGUGUAGCGGUGAAAUGCGUAGAGAUCUGGAGGAAUACCGGUGGCGAAGGCGGCCCCCUGGACAAAGACUGGCGCUCAGGUGCGAAAGCGUGGGGAGCAAACAGGAUUAGAUACCCCGGUAGUC
rnacentral:rRNA from 1 species